rnacentral:rRNA from 1 species
CAUUCGAGUGGCGGACGGGUGAGUAACGCGUGGGUAACCUGCCUUACACAGGGGGAUAACACCUGGAAACAGGUGCUAAUACCGCAUAAGCGCACAGGGCCGCAUGGCCCGGUGUGAAAAACUCCGGUGGUGUAAGAUGGACCCGCGUCUGAUUAGCCUGUUGGCGGGGUAGGGGCCCACCAAGGCGACGAUCAGUAGCCGGCCUGAGAGGGUGGACGGCCACAUUGGGACUGAGACACGGCCCAAACUCCUACGGGAGGCAGCAG